rnacentral:snRNA from 8 species
AUCGCUUCUCGGCCUUUUGGCUCAGAUCAAGUGUAAUAUCUGUUCUUAUCAGUUUAAUAUCUGAUACGUCCCCCAUCGGGGGACUACAUAUUAAAUGGAUUUUUCGAACAGGGAGUCGGAAAUGGGGCUUGCUCCGUCCGCUCCACGCAUCGACCCGGUAUUGCAGUACCUCCGGGAACGGUGCAACACUU